ACGAUGACUUUUCCAUUUUUUUCUCCUCAAUCCCAACUAUAGUACGUGAACAGUGCCGUGAACGAUCGUAUUCCCCAAGUACGAAUCUAGCUUUGAUACCAAUUGUUGUGCGGAAGCGUGUAAAAGAGUAAAAUUAUUGUACUAAAAAAUCACACUAAGUUUAAUUCCCAGGAAAGAGAGGUGGAUCACAAGGAUCGCUUAAGUACCAGGUCUUUCCUAGCCAGAAUAUCCCUCAAUCGUAAUUUAAUAGCACAAUAAAUCACUACAAUCACACACACAAUUCAUGCAGAAUAAUACAAUAAAGAACACAAGAAUUUAACGAGG
rnacentral:lncRNA from 1 species